AUGCAAGUCGAGCGGACAGAUGGGAAGCUUGCUCCCUGAUGUUAGCGGCGGACGGGUGAGUAACACGUGGGUAACCUGCCUGUAAGACUGGGAUAACUCCGGGAAACCGGGGCUAAUACCGGAUGGUUGUCUGAACCGCAUGGUUCAGACAUAAAAGGUGGCUUCGGCUACCACUUACAGAUGGACCCGCGGCGCAUUAGCUAGUUGGUGAGGUAACGGCUCACCAAGGCGACGAUGCGUAGCCGACCUGAGAGGGUGAUCGGCCACACUGGGACUGAGACACGGCCCAGACUCCUACGGGAGGCAGCAGUAGGGAAUCUUCCGCAAUGGACGAAAGUCUGACGGAGCAACGCCGCGUGAGUGAUGAAGGUUUUCGGAUCGUAAAGCUCUGUUGUUAGGGAAGAACAAGUGCCGUUCAAAUAGGGCGGCACCUUGACGGUACCUAACCAGAAAGCCACGGCUAACUACGUGCCAGCAGCCGCGGUAAUACGUAGGUGGCAAGCGUUGUCCGGAAUUAUUGGGCGUAAAGGGCUCGCAGGCGGUUUCUUAAGUCUGAUGUGAAAGCCCCCGGCUCAACCGGGGAGGGUCAUUGGAAACUGGGGAACUUGAGUGCAGAAGAGGAGAGUGGAAUUCCACGUGUAGCGGUGAAAUGCGUAGAGAUGUGGAGGAACACCAGUGGCGAAGGCGACUCUCUGGUCUGUAACUGACGCUGAGGAGCGAAAGCGUGGGGAGCGAACAGGAUUAGA
rnacentral:rRNA from 1 species